GACGAACGCUGGCGGCGUGCUUAACACAUGCAUGUCGAACGGAAAGGCCCUGCUUGCAGGGUACUCGCGUGGCGAACGGGUGAGUAACACGUGUGUGAUCUGCCCUGCACUUCGGGAUAAGCCUGGGAAACUGGGUCUAAUACCGGAUAGGAGCCAUCUUUAGUGUGAUGGUUGGAUAGUUUUUUCGGUGUAGGGUGAGCUCGCGGGCUAUCAGCUUGUUGGUUGGGUAAUUGCCUACCAAGGCGGCGGCGGGUAGCCGGCCUGGGGGGGUGGACGGCCAAAAUGGGACCGGGGGAAGGCCCAGGCUCCUACGGGGGGGAGGAGGGGGGAAAUAUGCACAAUGGGGGGAAGCCUGAUGCAGCGACGCCGCGGGGGGGAUGACGGGCUUCGGGUUGGAAACUCCUUUCGCUAGGGACGAAGCUUUUUGUGACGGUAACUAGAUAAGAAGCACCGGCUAACUACGUG
rnacentral:rRNA from 1 species